GCCGAAGUGGCGGAACAGGCAGACGCGCUACGUUCAGGGCGUAGUCCCGCUUAUCGGGGUGGGGGUUCGAAUCCCCCCUUCGGCACCA
rnacentral:tRNA from 1 species